GAAUAUCUACCAUGUUAUUUUAAACCUGCUGCUCUGCCCUGUGCUUUAACAACUGACAGGAAGUAACUGUAGACCCAUUACCAUGUUUUCAUUUCCUUUUAACCAUCAACAUCACAGCACCUUCUAAUGAUGAACAUGUAACAGAAUACACACAUUACAGACAGAGUACACACAUUACAGACAGAAUACACACACAUUACAGACAGAACACACACAUUACUGACAGAAUACACACAUUACAGGCAGAAUACACACAUUACAGACAGAAUACACACAUUACAGACAGAAUACACACACAUUACAGACAGAACACACACAUUACUGACAGAAUACACACAUUACAGACAGAAUACACACAUUACAGACAGAAAACUCAAUUUAGGCCAAACAAUUCAUGGCAGUUACAUAGGCUAAAUAAAUAAAUAAAUAAAUAAAUAAAUAAAUAAAUAAAUAAAUAAAUAAAUAAAUAGUGAAAUCCUGAAGAAAAAAAUAGUAAGUUCACUACAUUUCCAUGUAGAGUUUAAUAUAUACAGUCAUGUGACCAGAAUUAGGACCCCUUCAAAGCAUGUUUUUUUUAAAUAGUUAAAUAUAUUUGCAUUUAAAUAUUAUUUUAACAGUUUUGAAAAAAAAAUCAAGUAAUAAAAUUAAACAAAUAAAACCAAAGAAAAGUCUUUUUUUUUAAUUAUCUAUGAAACAUAAAAUAAAAAUCUAAUUUGUGAAUAAACAGUAAGGACACCCCCACAUGUAUUUGUACUUAAAAUAAAUAAAAUGACCUACUGGUGUAUCACAUCAGAUGUAAAUUAUUAGGACUUUGUUACAGAGCAUUUUGAAGACUUUUGUCUCAUUUAAACCUCAGAUAUUUCGUUUGAUUUGCUCUUAAUUGUUGAAGUGAGAGGUUUCACCAUGGUGAGAUCCAAAGAGCUCUCUGAGGCCUUCAGAGCAAAGAUGUUUAUAAUGUUUGUUGAUGUUUAUGAGUCUGGUAAGAGAUAUAAAAAGAUUUCAAAAGAAUUUAUAAUCAGACAUUCCACCGUCCGGAAAUCAUUUACAAGUGGAAAACAUUUAAAACACCUGCCAUCAUGGACAAGUCAGGACGUCCAAGUACAUUCAACCUGAGACCAGACUGCAAGAUGAUUAAAGAGGUCUCCAAAAAACCCUACAAUAUCAUCACAGGACCUACAGCAAGCUUGUGCUCCAGUUGAUGUCAAAGUGCAUGAAUCUACAAUCAGUAAGAGACUGAACCACUUUAAAUAUCAUUGGAGGUCUGAAGGAGAAAACUUUUACUGUUUAAAAAAAUCAUGAGGACAAGACUGAAGUUUGAGAAAGAACAGAGAGAAAGGACAAGACUUCUGUAAUAAUGUGCUGUAGACAGAUGAGUCUUAACCUGAAUUAUUACACACCAUAACAGAGGGGAUGUUUAGUGUAAACCAAAUACAGCAAUUCAGGAAAAAAAAAACUACAUAUAAACUGUGAAACAUGGAGGAUGAAGUGUUCUGGUUUAGAGAUGCUGUGCUGCAGCAGGACCUGGUCAGAUCACCAUCAUAUAACCUACUAUGAAUUCUACAUUGUAUCAGAAGGUGCUUGAAGAACAUAUGAAACCAUCUGUGAAAAAUGUUAAGCGAAGCAAAACUGAUUUUUGUUGUUUACAUGCAAUUACAUCAUUUCAUCUACAGGUAAAAAUUAAAACUAGAUCAGAAAUUGACAUGUUGACAUUUCCUUUUAAAGAACUGGGUAUUUAAUGAUGUGUCCAAAUUUUUUCACAUGACUGUAUAUUAGGUUGUGAGGAGGAGUUCAAUUAGGUGAAAUUAACAUAAUCAGUGUGAUGACAUGAGCAGAGAAAGACCAAGGAGUCAGCACUGGAAGAUAUUCAGCAAGAGUUUUUUUUCUUAAACAAAGAAAGUGUGGUUUAACUUACUCAGUUUAAAAAGGAUUAAAAUUGCUGUUGAUUUUAAUUUUUUUAGCCCAAUUCAAAAUUUGCUUUUGUCUUUUCGUGAACAAAUUGUGGCCUGGACUGAAGAAUUUAAUUUUGAGCUUAAUAUUGAGAAACAGAAGAAAUAGCUUACCUGGAUGACAGAGUGAGUCGAUUAUGGACUUUUCUUCACAAACAUUUAGUGGAUCAUUUUUUUACCCCUAGUCACGACUGUCGUGCCUGUUGCUCUAGUGCUGCUUCUCAUUGGCCUUUUAUCAGCUGGAGUGAUACGGUGUAAAAAAAAGACCCAAGGCUCUGGAACAAUGACACAAUAUUCCAGACAGACAAAUGAAGAUUAUGAAAAUGAUC